UUUCCGUAGGUGAACCUGCGGAAGGAUCAUUCAUAAUAAAGUGUUUUAUAGCACUUUUUAAAAAUCUAUAUCCACUUUGUGUGCAAUGUUAGAUCUCGUCAAUCUUGGCGAGAUUUUUAUACAUCAACUCAUUCUUUAACAAAUUUGUCUGAAAAAUAUUAUGAAUACUUAAUUCAAAAUACAACUUUCAACAACGGAUCUCUUGGCUCUC
rnacentral:misc_RNA from 1 species